AGCCUAUACACGUCUGAUCUGAAAGCGCUGGCAUCUUGAUCGACGCGGUACGGUACAAUGGACAAAUUUGUUUGCAAUUUGUUGGAGGAAUGUGGACUGGAGGAGUUCAAGGACGCUUUCUUAGAUGAUGAAGUGACAACAGCUGCUCUGCUGGCACUCCCUUUCAUUUUGCCAAUGGGAACCAGAAAGACGGGCAAAGGCAGGACCACACGGGCUGUCGUUGAUGAUGCAAGGUGGGCACCAACAUUCCACACUACCUAGAAAUUCUACAGCAGAAUCAGCCAUUUGCCCUUAUGUUUGGUAGUGGGGCGACAUGUGAGCAGUCCUUCGUUGUGUUUGAAAGACAGGCUGCACAGUGUAAAUCUGUCUUGCACGCAGUUGACAUGGUGGUAAAGGCAAUGUACGUCCUUUGGUGUGACUUUCCAUGGGAGCUGUCUCAUGUAUUUCAAUUCCUGGUUGAGACAGUCUACAAGAUUGAUACAGGGAAGCCUCCAUCAGCUGCGUGCAGGACAAUGCGAGCUUUUCUAUUAAAUAGUGAGCAUUGAAAGGUUUAGGAUUAACUGGGGACUGUAGCCCUUUUGUAAAUCAUACUUUUAACUAUGUGAAAUAUCACUUUGACAGGAAAGGAAAUGUUAUUUUAGAGCUAUCCUGAAAAUUAUAUGCAAUUCUGGUCCCCUUUUCUUGACUUUUAGAGCAAAAAUAAUAAUAAAUGUUCAGCAGGGUGUUUAUUCUCACAUACAGACAGGUGUUAUAAGGGGGGGGGAUUUUGCUUGUAUCUCGAAAACUAUGAUUCGUAUGACCGUGGGAUUUCAUACAUAUAACUUUAUUAUCAUUAAUUUGCUAUGUUUACAUCAAAUAUGAAUACAUCUG